ACAGCCCUUUGGCUUGUGUCCUUAUUUGCCAGGGAUUCUCUCUUGGAGGAAGGGGAGAUAAAAGGGGGAAACAGAAAUGGGAAAGGCGGGUUGGACAAAACUGGUAUCAGGCUUGCGGACACCUCCUUCCUAAACCCUGGCAAGCUGGUCUCCACCGCGCCAAGCUGUCCGGGGUGGGGCGUGGGGAGGCGGGAAGCCCCCCUCCGGCCCGCAUCUCCAGCCACAGAACCCGCUAGUGUCACGGUGAACCGCCUGGCCCGUUUUCAGUCCCUGGCGUCCUGUGUCUCAGUACUUCCCGCGGCCGUUUACCUUUCCAAGCUGUCGGCAGCGGCUCCCACUGCCCUUCAGGCCAGGGCUGCACUCAGAUGCUGGCCUUUUCUCCUUUUAUUUAGAGGACAACAAAACCAAGAAAAUCCCUUCCACUCGGAAUCCCAGAAAAAAGCGACUGCAAAGAAUGGACUUAUGCCACCCAACACGUAUGCGUUAUGCUCCCGUACGGAAUCCCGCCCUCUCCCUGCUGACACCCGGGCCCGAGACCGGGCGCGCCUCGGGAGAGAGAAGCAACUAACAAAACAGCGAUAACACGGAUUAUUCAGUUUGCAGUUUGCAGGGUAUGUCUUGGAGCUGCUACAAAUUCACCCUUACUUUUUUGUAAGCCACAUCUUGACAUUGGGCAUUGAUGUUUAGAAUAACUUGUGGGCAGUAAAUAU
rnacentral:lncRNA from 1 species